UCCGCCAGAGAACUACAAGUGAAAAACUUAAAACUCAAAGGACUUGACGGUGUCCCAUAUCGACCUAGAGGAGCCUGUCCUAUAAUCGAUACCCCCCGUUUCACCCAACCCCAACUAGCAAAAUAUCAGCCUAUAUACCGCCGUCGACAGUUUACCCUAUGAAGGCCCAACAGUAAACAUAAUAGCCCCAAGACGCUAAUACGUCAGGUCAAGGUGUAGCAAAUGUUGAGGAAGAGAUUGGCUACAUUUUUUAAAAUAAAAAACACGGAUUGCACUAUGAAAUGCUGCAUGAAGGUGAAUUUAGUAGUAAAACAGAUAAGAGUGUCUGUUUUAACAACGCUCUGGGACGCGUACACACCGCCC
rnacentral:rRNA from 1 species